AGCAGCCGCGGUAACUCCAGCUCCAAUAGCGUAUAUUAAAGUUGUUGCAGUUAAAAAGCUCGUAGUUGAAUUUCGGGAUCAUCAGGUCGGUCGUGCCUCCGGUAUGUACUGGUCUCGAUGGUUCCUCCUUCUUGUAGAACCGUAAUGCCAUUAAUUUGGUGUUGCGGGGAAACAGGACUGUUACUUUGAAAAAUUAGAGUGUUUAAAGCAGGCGAUCGCUUGAAUACAUUAGCAUGGAAUAAUGAAAUAGGACGUUCGAUCCUAUUUUGUUGGUUUCUAGGAUUGACGUAAUGAUUAAUAGGGAUAGUUGGGGGCAUUAGUAUUCAAUUGUCAGAGGUGAAAUUCUUGGAUUUAUUGAAGACUAACUACUGCGAAAGCAUUUGCCAAGGAUGUUUUCAUUAAUCAAGAACGAAAGUUGGGGGCUCGAAGACGAUCAGAUACCGUCCUAGUCUCAACCAUAAACGAUGCCGACCAGGGAUCAGCGGAUGUUGCUUAUAGGACUCCGCUGGCUA
rnacentral:rRNA from 1 species